rnacentral:miRNA from 1 species
CUGCGCCCUCUCCCUCUCUGCACAGCGCCUCUCCUGUGAAGGAGAGGCGCUGCGCAGAGAGAGAGAAGGCGCAG